AGUACGUCAACAUGAUCGGUCUGUUAAAGAAUUGAUACUAUGAUUUGAUCUUGUCGACCAAGCUUGCUGGACUUGGCCAUGCGGCAUUCCUGUUCAUGGCAUCUGCUCGGGACAAAGUAAGCUACGUGUACCCUAAUGUCAAUGCAGCAGGCGCAGGCAUGCUGCUCACAGAGACCUUCACUUCUCCAACCAUGAACCUCUCCGAACGUGGAUACCACAUGUACGAUGAAAUGGAGGAAUGGUUAGGAAUGA